rnacentral:tRNA from 1 species
GAAGAGAUUGCUGUUUGGUAAAGUAUUCAAAUUGCUAAUUUGACGCCUUCGGGCUCGUGAGUUCAAGUCUCGCUCUCUUCG